rnacentral:lncRNA from 10 species
CUACCUUCUUUCCAUCAUUCUGCCCUUCUUCUAAAGGUCUUGUAAAGUUGAGGCUUACAAUCUGAAGCAAUGGUCUCCAAAUGUUUAUAUCAUCAGAAAAAAUGUGAAUAUUCAUUAUACUCAAGUUAUAUAUUCAAUAUAAAUGUAUACAUGUACUACUAUACCGUUUUUGUUUUUGUUUGGAACAGGGUCUUACUCUGUCGCCCAGGCUGGAUUGCAGUGGCACGAUCACGGCUCACUGCAACCUCCACCUCCUGGGCUCAAGCAAUCCUCCCGCCUCAGCCCCCUGAGUAGCUGGGACUGCAGGCAUAUGCCACCACACCGAGCUAAUUUUUUAUAUUUUUAGAAGAGAUGGGGUUUUGCCAUGUUGCCCAGGCUGGUCUUGAACUCCUGAGCUCAAGCGAUCAGCCCCCUUGGCCUCCCAAAGUGCUGGGACUAUAGGUGUGAGCCACUGAGCCAGCUGGCUCUACUAUUUUUUUUUUUUUUUUUUUUGAGAUGGAGUCUCACUCUCUCGCCCAGUCUGGAGUGCAGUGGGGUGAUCUCAGAUCACUGCAACCUCUGUUUCCCAGGUUCAAGGGAUUCUCCUGCCUCAGCCGCCCGAGUAGCUGGGACUACAGGUGCGCGCCACCACACCUGGCUAAUUUUUUUGUUAUACUACUAAUAAAGUGUAAUUUCUGUUAAUUUUUUUUAUAUUAGAGGUUACUGGUCUAGAAGGCAACAUUCCUUCUGAUGAUUGAUGAACUCCUUGUGCAUUUCUUGGUCCCUCUAAGAGAUUAGUUAAAAUAUUGAGGUGGAAGUACCCUCUUUCUUUUCAUAGUUUAACUUCAUAAUGAAAAGUUAGUUGUCGUUUUCCCUUUCUUGAGCUCCUGCAUCACUUUAUGAGAGCAUCUCUUAUUUUGCAGGUUUUUUUUUUUUUACAUCUCUUUGUAUUUCCAGUACCUGUAUCCUUUGAAGAGCAGGCACUUGAGGAUUUACUGAUGAUGAUUAGAUACUCUUAGCCCCUAACCAAACAUUUCAGAAGGGUCCCCUCAAAGGGGUGAGCUAAUUCAAGAUGUUUAUAUGCUAGAGCUUAAAAAAGGGGUUCAACCUGAGAAAGCUAAUAGGAAAAGAAAAAAGGGUGAGGGGGCACUAGUUCUAAUCCUCAGCAAGCAAAGCAACAGCUUCAGCGUAGUAGUGGCUCCUUAGGGCUAAGGGUU